rnacentral:antisense_RNA from 1 species
CCCGGCAUCCCCUGGCCCUGGCUGUCUCGCCACCCCCGACACUGCAGCGCCUGCCGGCCUCGGGGCCCCGCCCUCUGCCUUCGCUGGCGCCGCGCUCCUUCAGUCUCCCCAGGGCCUGUUUCAUGGAUAGGGUCCCCUUGCCCGCGUGAAAAUCUCCUUCCUCCUCAGCUCAGAAACACUCCAAGGUCUCGGCACCCGAUACUGGCCUUACCUCAUCCGAAUACCCCUCGUGCCCUUGAUGUACCUUUCCAUUCCCACUCCCUACUCUGGCAGCCUAGCUUCUAAGCUGAGGAGCUUGGCCUUCGCUCCAGGUGCGGGGACUCGGAAGGAUUUGAUUCGCGCUUUAGAAAGAUCGCUCUGCUCCUGUGAGGAGGAGGGCGUGUAGGGGCUGCAACCAGAGACACAGUCAGAAGCUCCGGGCUACCGCGAUGGUCCAGGUGCCACAGGACACAGCCUAACAGAGGCCCAGGUUGGAGCCAUCGACCAUGGAGUCACGAGAAUGGAAGGGAAGCUGACGCCAUGUGGGAUGGGGUAGAACUGUCUGCAAAUUCGUCCCGCCUCUGGAGUCUUCAGACCAGUCAAGGCCGAAAUUCAGCCAAGCCUCUCCUCUAUCUAGCUGUUAUUUGUUUGUUUGCAGCACGUGGUCUGGUGGCACCCUGCAGGAUUUACCAGCUUUUUGCCAGCAUUCUGGCCUAUGCAAUCAAUACGUCCCUUCAGCGUUGCACUUGGAUGGAUUGGACCUGUAGUUGUUAUAUAUGGAUAUUGUCUAAAUUAUUUAUUACAGUAUUAACUGACUCCUAUGUUCUGGCCUUCAGAAUUUCUCCUUUGGAUCAAUUACUAGCUUGUCUUACAUUUUCUGCUUCAUUCUUUUAAAAUGUUUAGAAAUGAUUUGCUAACUUCUAAGUUUUCUUCAUUGCUGUCAAUGAUGCAAUUUAAACUGUCAAAAAAUGUUUUUCUCAAGCAGGGUAGUAAUGGUGAACCAUUCCCUUGCUAUUCAGACAGCAUGGUUUAGAUGAGGCGCACCUAUCCCCAGCUCUAGGAAUGGAAACAGGACCCAAGUCUGGCUAAUCAGACAUUGGUUUAGGGUCGGUCCCAUGGUCUGAGCCAGACCAAUGAGAAUUGGUAGAGGGACUUUCUUUUGCAACUUCUAUUUUAGAAUCGGGGGUAUAUAUGCAGGCUUGUUACAGAGGUAUAUUGCAUGGUGCUGAGGUUUGGAGUAUGAACGAAUCCGUCCUUCAGGUAAUGAGCAUAGUACCCAAUAGGUAGUUUCAACCCUUGCCCCCUUCCUCCUUUCCCGCUUUUGUAUUCCCCAGUGUCUGUUGUUCCCAGACAUUGAUCUUUUUCCGCUAUGUUGCCAAGCUGGUAGAGAGGCUGGAGUUGCUGGCAACCAUCUUUGCAACCAUGCAGGGAGAGCUACUUUGGAAAUGAAGCAAGACAAAGAAGAAAACAGAUAAAAGGAGACAAAUGUUUGACUUUGUACAGCUGGAAACCAGCAAUGCUGGAAAUGAGCACUGAAGGUAGUUUGAUGGGUUUGUCACUUGUAACCAAGUGACCCAUGGCAAGCUCACAGAUUUCUACUGGCAGAAUUCCUCCUUUUCUUUACUUAAAAUGGUACUUUUGGCCAGGCAAGGUGGCUCACACCUGUAAUCCAAAGACUCUGGGAGGCCGAGGCGCGCUGAUCACCCAAGGUCAGAAGUUCGAGAACAGCCUGGCCAACAUGGCGAAACCCCGUCUCUACUAAAAAUACAAACCAUUAGCUGGCUGCAGCGGCCUUUCUACCCGCUUUUUGUC